rnacentral:rRNA from 1 species
GAUGAACGCUGGCGGCGUGCUUAAUACAUGCAAGUCGAACGAGGAACACUUUGUAGCAAUACGAGGGGUUCCUAGUGGCGAAUGGGUGCGUAACACGUAGGUGACCUGCCCCGAAGUGUGGGAGUAACAGUUCGAAAGGACUGCUAAUACCGCAUGUGGUCCCGGAGGUUCGAGGCUUCGGUCUAAAGCUUCCCGCAAGGGAGGCGCUUUGGGAGGGGCCUGCGGCCCAUCAGGUAGUUGGUAGGGAACGGCCUACCAAGCCGACGACGGGUAGGGAUCUGAGAGGAUGGUCCCCCACACUGGCGACU